ensembl:lncRNA
UCUGAGUCCUUUGGCCUUCACUCAGGUCAGAAUCGGAAGUCCCUGGUCCCCCGCUGAGAGAUUAGAACUUUCCAAGGAUUAGGAGAUUAUCCCAGGUGCCCGUGUCCAGGCUGGUGUCUGAGUUCUGUGCUCCCUCCCCACCCCCCUCCACAGGUAUCUGGUUCAUUCUUAGGACGGUCACAUACUGGUGCUGCUGGAGUGUCCCACGAGAGAUGCAAAGUGCCUGAGUUUUGGACUCUUCCUUUCAGACCCCCCUAAUUCACACGUGACCCACCAUCCUGUCUUUGACUAUGAGGCCACCCUGAGGUGCUGAGCCCUGGGCUUCUACCCUGUGGAGAUCAGACUGACCUGGCAGCGGGAGAGUGAGGACCAGACCCACGACGUGGAGCUCGUGGGGACCAGGCCUGCAGGGGAUAGAACCUUCCAGAAGUGGGCAGCUGUGGUGGUGCUCUUGAGAGGAGCAGAGAUUCACGUGCUAGGUGCAGCACCAGGGGCUGCCUGAGCCCCUCAUGCUGAGAUGGAGUAAGGAGGGAGAUGGAGGUAUCAUAUCUUUUAGGGAAAGCAGGAGCCCCUCUGGAGACCUUUAACAGGGUCGGUGGUGGGGCCUGGGGUCAGAGACCCUCACCUUCCCCCUCUUUCCCAGAGCAGUCUUUCCAGCCCACCAUCCCCAUCAUGGGCAUCAUUGCUGGACUGGUUGUCUUUACAGCUGUUGUCACUGAAGCUGUGGUCACUUUUGUGCUGUGGAGGAAGAAGAGCUCAGAUAGAAAAGGAGGGAGCUACUCUCAGGCUGCAAGUAAGUAUGAAGGAGGCUGAUCCCUGAGAUCCUUGGGAUCUUGUGGUUGGGAGCCCAUGGGGAGCUCACUCAGGCAAUAUUUCCUCCUCUCCUGUGGGCUCUGACCAGGUCCUGUUUAUGUUGUACCCCAGGCAGUGACAGUGUCCAGGGCUCUGAUGUCUCUCACGGCUUGUAAAUGUGAGACCCUGGGGGCCUGAUGUGUGUGGGUUUUUGGGGGGAACAGUGGACACAGCUGUGCCAUGAGGUUUCUUUGACUUGGAUGUAUUGAGCAUGUGCUGGGCUGUUUCAAGUGUCACCCCUCACUGUGACAGAUAUGAAUUUGUUCAUGAAUGUUUUUCUGCAGUCUGAGACAGCUGCCCUGUGUGGGACUGAGUGGCAAGAUUUGUUAACUCUUUCCCUUUGUGACUUCAAGAACCCUGACUUCUUUUUCUGCAAAGGCAUCUGAAUGUGUCUGUGUUCCUGUAGGCAUAAUGUGAGGAGGUGGAGAGACCAGCCCAACCCCAUGUCCACCAUGACCCUCUUCCCCACACUGACCUGCUUUCCUUCCCCAAUCACCUUUCCUGUUCCAGAAAUGGGGCUAGGAUAUCUCCAUCUCUGUCUCAACUUCAUGGUGCACUGAGCUAUAACUUCUUACUUCCCUAUUAAAAUUAGAAUCUGAGUAUAAAUUUACUUUUUCAAAUGAUUUCCAAGAGAGGUUGAUGGGUUAAUUAAAGGAGAAGAUUCCUGAAAUUUGAGAGACAAAAUAAAUGGAAGACAUGAGAACCUUCCACGGUACACAUGUUCUGUUAAUUUGUUGCAGAGGAGGAGACUAGAUGGGGCUGUGCACAGUGGGUGCUCAGGCCACCAUGAACUUUAUGUGGUCACUGCUCAGCUGGGUCACCAUUGCUGCUCCAUUGUCCUUGGCCCUUCAGUAGAACCUUGUCCCACCAGGACCUGUGAUCACAGGUGUUAGGCAGGAAUCUAGACCCAACAUGGUGGCGUUACCCGGCGUAGCAGGCCUUUUGUUAAAGACUCCCUUCACCCUUGUACACACCCACAGACUUACAUGCGUCAGAGUUCUGGCUGGGCAACCACACUCCCCCAUGACCCGCAGCUCACCUGCAUUCCACAAGUUCGUAAACAGCAGUUUCGGUUGACAGUUUCCAAAGAUCCCUUCCUCAUGACCCUUACUCAACUCCUGCCCUAGUAGUUUCAAGACCCCCAGGCCCUGUUUGCACAACCAGCUUCCCUACCUCUCGGGCUAUAAAAGCCCCUCAGUGCUACUUCCUCGGCCCUUUGGAACCAAGAAACCUCGCCUGCGA